rnacentral:rRNA from 1 species
AUGCUCCGUCUCCGAGAGCGCAUCGUUUCCCGUCUCCUCUCUUUCUCCUCCACAUCCACCUCCGCCCCGGCCACCCCCCCACUCCGCCGCCUCCUCUCCGCCGUCGCGGCCCCCAUUCCCCCGAGCCGAGGAUUCGCCGUUGAGGAGUACCUCGUCCACACCUGCGGCCUCACCCGGCCCCAGGCGCUCAAGGCCUCCACCAAGCUCUCCCACCUCAAGUCCCCCGCCAAUCCCAACGCCGUCCUCGCGUUCCUCUCCGGCCUCGGCCUCUCCAGCGCCGAUGUCGCCGCCGUCGUCGCCAAAGACCCGCUUUUCCUCUGCGCCGGCGUGGAGAGAACCCUGGGCCCCGUCGUCGCCGGGCUCACCGGCCUCGGUCUCUCGCGUCCUGAGAUCGCCCGCCUCGUCUCGCUUGCCCACUGCCGCUUCCGGCGCAGAUCCAUCGUCUCCAAGAUGCACUACUACCUGCCCCUCUUGGGCUCCUUCCACAACUUCCUCCGGGCGCUCAAGUGCUCACCCUAUCUUCUCACGCGGGACCUUGAUACGACGGUCAAACCCAAUGUCGCCUUCCUGCAGGAGUGCGGGCUAGCUGCUUGUGAUAUUGCCAACCUGACCAUGGUUAUUUGGGGGAUGCUGACCUCCGACCUGGAGCGCCUCCAGACGAUGGUGACAUGCGCCGAAGGUAUAGGCGUGCCCCGUGGCUCUGGGAUGUUCAGAACUGCGCUACAUGCUGUCGCAUUCCAAAGCGAGGAGAAGAUCACCGCCAAACUGGAGUACUUGAAGAAUACGUUCAGGUGGUCUGAUACCCAAGUGAGGAAUGCUGUAUCUAGGGCUCCAAUGCUGCUGGGCAGGUCAAAGGACGCACUGCAGCGCAGGUCCGAGUUCCUGUUAGCUGAGGUGGGGCUGGAACCCGUGUGCAUUGCUUAUCGACCGAUAAUUCUCUGUCUUAGCCUGGAGGGCCGGGUCAGGCCCCGGUGCUAUGUUGUAAAGUUUCUCAACAAAAAUGGAUUGCUAGAUCGCGACCUGAGCUUCCAUACUGCAGUCAUGAAGACCGAGAAGGAUUUCGUCGAAAAGUAUAUAUGCCCUCACAAGGAAGCUGCGCCACACCUCGCUCAAGACUAUGCAACCGCUUGCAAAGGGGAAGUGCCAGAGAAUUUUAGAUUUACAUGA